GCGAAGGGUAGAGAUCUUGAUGCAAGGCAUGGGGAGAUCUUGACGCAAGGCAUGGGGCAAAGGCUUAAGAUGAAGAGGGCAGGUUGUGUCGUCCAAUGUAGCCAGCAGAACAAUUAUGGCCUUGUGGGGAACAAGAACACUGACCCCUGAGCAGAAAGCACAAAUUGCAGCAGAGCAGCAGCAGGAUCAAGAAGGAACUAGGAAGUCCCAUCAUCUUACGGACUCUGGAUCUCUUAAGGAUGUUGAAGAGGCAAAGAUGUCCAAUGUUUAUUCUGCUCAACUGCCUAUUACUGUAAGCAUUUAAAUCUUUAUCGGUCUCGUUCCACAAGGUGAAGGGAGAAGAAUUGCAAUCAAACAGUUCAUUUCUUAGCAAAAUUAACUCUUUUUAAUCCAUCUUUCAUUUAUAAUCCUCUAAAGCAAUUACUCUUUGUCCUGGCCUCCCAUCUUUAUAUGUGUUCUGAGGCAAACAAACUUGUGCAUGCUGAUGCUGUUCCUCCUCUCCCCAUUCAAGCAAAGCGUCCCCGUUGGGGGAGAGAAAAGAAGCAACGCAGUACAGACAGGAAAGCCAAGGAAUCUACACUAGGGAAAAAUAAAAGGGAACAAAAUGUCCAAAAAAAAUGUGAAUAAAAAUAUAUAUAUAUUUUUAAAACUCACCGUAGCUCCCCUCCUAAUAAAAUUCUUAUUUAUUUAUUUAUAAGAUAAAAUUAAGAAAUUAUGUAAAUUUGACCAAAUCAGCCGCAACUGUAAAUCCCGUAACGGAAUCAAUACUGAUUACUGGCAUCGUUUUCGUCGUACAUCUCAACGAUCUUCCCCAUCACUAUACAGAGCAGAGCUUAAACUAAGCAAAUUAAAAAAAAAAAAAACACUAAUCUACUCCAACAUUCAUCUAUUCAUUCAACACCACCUCUUCCUUUUUGCAAAUUUCCAUCUAAAUAUGGAUCCCAACCCCAAGUCCUUCCCGAUCCUCUCCUAUGUUAUGGCCCGACUUCCCUCCCUCUCACCCCAAUCCCCCUCCACCACCUUCGACGUCGAGCAGCCCCUGCCACGCGCUGCCUCCGAUCCCUCUUCCUGCCAAACGCCCAUUGUCUCCCAAUUACCCCACUUAACUGACCCCAAGGUCCUAGCUUCCAUGACCAGCGCCAUCGCCGAUGUGGCCCAGACCCGAUCAAUCCUUCAAACCCUCGGCCCUCGCCCUGACCACGAGACCGUCGACACUGCCAGACUUAAACUUUCUGAAAUCGAAUCGAACCUCUCCACACAGCUCGAAGAAAUUGUCCUCUCUCCACAGCCCGCCGAAGUCGACAGGCUUGAAUGGCGCGCGCACCUGGCGGACAAGGAACAGCAUUGUCGACAAGCCUCGGAGAAAGAGAAGAACUUGUACAAGACGAUAUUGCAAUUGGAGGAGAUGCACGAGUCUUACGAGAAGCUAUUGAAGGCGGCGGAGCAGCGGUUGGUGAAGAUUUAUGAGAAGGCGGAGAUGGGGGAGGAGGAGAAGGAUGAGAAAAAUAAGGGGGAAGUGUACGAGCAGUUGAACGAAGAGAUUGUGGGAAUACUCCAAGAGGCGUCUGGAAAGGGUCUGGAGAGGGUGGAUUUGUCGAACAGGAGAUUGUUGUACUUGCCUGAGGCGUUUGGAAGGAUUCGUGGGUUGAGAGUGCUUAAUCUCUCUAAUAAUCAGCUUGAGGUUAGCUUCUUCCCCUUUUAUCCGUUAUUUAUAAAUUUUAGUCGCUGGCUUGCUGCAUGUAGAAUUGAUGCACCAUUUUCUGUUUUUGACGUUUUAGGAAGUAGAUAAACAAAUUCAAAUUAUAAAUGUAUUAGCCACUCGUUUUUGUUAUUGCAUUCUAGGCUUUUAACUUGGCAUUGUUGGCUUUGGUUAUCUAUGUGAUAUAACAACUAUGAUGUGAAUUUGAAAUCAAUAUUGUGGAUUCUUUAGGCAUAUGAGUUAAAGGUUCUUGUGAAAUGUAGUGUAUAAAAUGUUUAAUUUGUUUAUCUAAUCUGAAUUUGGACGCUGCAAUACAAUUCUUUGGGUGUUGUAGAUGGCUGUGAUGAGAUUUUGGAAACAAUUAUCUUUUGGCCUGUGCUUCUCAAUGCUUGUGUUUUUACGUAAUCUUUUUACACUGAGAAUACACUAAUUCUGAGCCUGUUCUUCUGCCUUUAUUUGGCUGUAAAUAUAUGUUAAAAAUGGAUUAUAUUUGACUAGUUUUAGCUUGCAUGCGUGUGCAUUUGUAUGUGGAAAAAUCUGACAGGAUCUUGGCUACAUCAAUUGAGAGUGUUUGUGGUCUUAGGGUUUUGUGAAGAGAGCAUAGUUGGCUGAUGUAAAAAGUUCAGGUAUAUUGAUGCUGUGCUAUCAGUUAUGCAUAUUUCAUGAUAAAACAAAAUCUAACAUUACUAUUUAGAUAUAUUUUUAACAAGCAAUUUAUUCCUCCUUGUGUGGAUAAUUCUAACUUGCAAUUAUAUUAUCUGCGUUGUGGGUGUUUAAUGAGGCCCCAGUUCCUUUCGCCAGACUGCAUAACUCAUAAGUUCUGAAAUCAAGUUUGUUGGGUUUUGUGGUAAGUGCUAACUUUUUAAAGUAACCAACGUGUUGGUAUCCAAAAUGCAUUAGUCAGGAGUAAUCAGUAAGGUAGUUCAGCUGAAUGAGGUAGUCAUGUAGUAGACUUCAGUGGACUUUGAUAGGGUCCAUACAAAUCCAUAGAUCAAUCAGGGUACAAAUUUUUUAGAUGAAGGGAGAAGGUGACCUAGGUGUCCAGUUGGUGAAAGCAGAGCUCCAACUUCCAUGGUUCUUUGGUGCAGCACAUUUUUUUGCUAUGACACAUGCAAAAUUUUCAAGUAUUAGGGUGUGCAAGAUGUAUUCGUUAAUUGAUACUAUCAAUAUCCUCUCUGUCUUGAGUUAUUUACAAAAAUUUUGCGCGAUUUUGUUUGCCUGGUUUUUUUUACUGUACUUACUUCCAUGUUGAUAUGUUUACCCACAAUAUCUCAAAUAUCUAUUGAUCUACUUGCUAUAUGACCUUUUUAUGUAUUGGCUUGUAUAUAUUCUCCUUAUAUUUGGGUAACCUUUGUGAGGGGAACAGGUCAUUCCUGAUUCAAUAGCUGGGUUGGAAAAUCUCGAGGAGCUCAAUCUUGCUUCAAAUCUUUUGGAAGCAUUGCCAGAUUCUAUUGGAUUGCUACAGAACUUGAAAAUUCUAGAUGUCUCCAGUAAUAAGCUAGAUUCUUUACCUGACUCCAUUUGUCAUUGCAGGUAAGUAUAAUUCAUUACAGAUUCCUUCUCUGACCAGAUAUUUAUUUUAUUUGCUAUACCAUUUUCAAUGGAAGGUCAUUGCUGGAGUUGGAUGUGAGCUUCAACCGUCUUACAUACUUGCCAACUAAUAUAGGAUAUGAGUUCGUGAAUCUUAAGAGGCUGUCAAUCCAGUUGAACAAGAUCCGUUCUCUUCCCACUUCUGUUGGUGAAAUGAGAUCUAUGCAGCAUCUGGAUGCUCACUUUAAUGAGCUUCAGGGCCUUCCACUUUCAAUUGGGAGAUUGACAAAUCUCGAGAUCUUCAAUUUGAGUAAUAAUUUCAGUGACCUGACGGAACUUCCUGAGACGUUGGGUGAACUGACAAACCUCAAGGAACUUGAUCUCAGCAAUAACCAGAUUCAAGCUUUGCCUGAUUCAUUUGGCCGGCUGGAUAAUUUGACCAAAUUGAACUUGGACCAAAAUCCGCUUGUGAUCCCACCAUCAGAAGUAGUGAAGGAAGGGAUUGAAGCUGUCAAGAUGUUCAUGGCUAAGAGGUGGCUUGACAUACUGGUGGAGGAAGAAAGGAAAAGCAUGAUUGAAGAACAAGAACAAGCACAGACUGGGUGGUUGACACGGAGCACAUCCUGGUUGAAGAAGUACGUUGAAGAUGUGUCUGAAAAUGUUUCAGAAUAUUUAAGUCCAAGAUCUCCAAAGGACGCUUAUCUAAAUCAGCAGCUAUAAGUUCAUGGACCUAUGAUAUUUUGGUCGUUCCCUUGCUUUCAUGGCAUUGUGCACAUGAUAAAAGACUGCUGAUAUGGUUUCUUCUGCUUCUAUUGCAAUUAUUUUCCUUUGUUUUAUGCUGCAUUAAUGCCAACUAGAAAAAGAUGAAAAUCUAACAAAUUUUGUGUUAUGCUGCAUUAGUGGAAGUCAUUAGGUGCAGAACUCUGCUGUCUUUCCAUUCUUUCUUUUGUUGUAUGAGAACCCACGUAAUGCUCCCACAGUUAUGAAUUUUAAUAUUUAAAAUUUUU
rnacentral:misc_RNA from 1 species